CAGGGACCUCUACUCACGGUUUUCUGAAUGGAAAUCAGGAACAAACUGCUCAUCACUGUCUGGUACCUGAGCUGCAGAGAGAAGUCAGAGCCCCACCAGCGACACCCUCAGGCCCCACCAAAACGCACUGAAGAAUCCAACCAGGAAACCUCCUGAACACACCACUUCCCCAUCAGACCCAGCCACGGACCCAGCCACGGACCCCACCCCAGCCAGCUCACAGCUAACUCCCCAGCACACAGGAAGGGGGGAAUUUGCCUGGAGGCAGAGGUAUUCAAGCGGGAUGGAAGAGGGAGGAACACUUGCUAUUAGAAUUACAAUCAAGGCUAUUUGGGGAGGGAGCCCUGGGCUCUCUGUGCCAAAGGACUGCCG
rnacentral:lncRNA from 1 species